rnacentral:rRNA from 1 species
UACGAAGGGGGGCGGGCGUUGUUCGGAGUUACUGGGCGUAAAGGGCGCGUAGGCGGCGCUCCAAGUUAGGCGUGAAAGCCCCCGGGCUCAACCUGGGAAUAGCGCUUAAGACUGGAGUGCUCGAGUGCGGAAGAGGUGAGUGGAAUUCCCAGUGUAGAGGUGAAAUUCGUAGAUAUUGGGAAGAACACCAGUGGCGAAGGCGGCUCACUGGUCCGCAACUGACGCUGAGGCGCGAAAGCGUGGGGAGCAAACAGG